UGUUCUCUGAGUAGGAAUCAAAUAAACAACUACUUCCGAUGUUGAAAGAUGAGAU
ensembl:ncRNA C26B9.8 ncRNA